UGAUUGGUUAGUUUCUGACUCAGCCAAACAGCCCGCUUGCUUUGGAGUUCAUGCAGCCAAACAAGUUCGCUAGUUGCGAGAUGAAUCUGGAAACCUGUUGUGCUUUUUAGAGGCGUUUCUGACCCCGAGAAACUUCCAAAGAACUUUCCACAGAACUACUGAAAGGUAUCCAUCACAAAGGAACUGAAGUCUCUGAUGUAUGCAAAUCUUUUUGGGCACUGGCUUCACUUACAAUGAAGUACCAUGGAUAAGGUGUUUGUUCUGUAAACUGUUAAGACCAGCUCAACUCAUACAUACCUUGAGGAUGUAAGAAGAUCUUUUCGAAGUGUCUUCUCUUUAUCACCACCCAAUGUUACGCUGGACUGAGUUGUGGUACCAAGUGAGAAGCAUGUGGAGCAUGGAGACGCUGGCUCAUCAGAGAUGACAGUUGGGUUCUCGGUGCGGUGCUGAAGCGCUGCUGGCUACGGACACUGAGAGGGCAACACCUGCUCCUCUGCAGCUAACCUCCUUCCAGGGUACAGAAAGACAUCACAGACAAACCCCCCUCCCAAACCCCUCCUUUUCUUUCCUCUUACCAGACAGACUUGCUCACUGACCCAAUCCACAUCUCCUGCUCUGUGGUCUCCAGAUCCUCUCUGACCUGACCCAGAACACUGACUUACACAACUGCCAACACCUCAAGAACCAUCUGUAUUUCUGUUCCCCUCCUUUCUCUCC